rnacentral:misc_RNA from 1 species
GAAAUGCGAUAAGUAGUGUGAAUUGCAGAAUUCAGUGAAUCAUCGAAUCUUUGAACGCACAUUGCGCCCCUUGGUAUUCCAUGGGGCAUGCCUGUUCGAGCGUCAUUUGUACCCUCAAGCUUUGCUUGGUGUUGGGCGUUUUGUCCUUAUCUGGGGAACUCGCCUCAAAACCAUUGGCAGCCGGCAUAUUGGUAUCGGAGCGCAGCACAAGUCGCACUUCUUUCCAUGAAUGUUGGCGUUCAUCAAGACCCUUUUUUCCCUCUUGACCUCGGAUCAGGUAGGGAUACCCGCUAAACUUAA